rnacentral:rRNA from 1 species
GAUGAACGCUGGCGGCGUGCCUAAUACAUGCAAGUCGAGCGAACAGAUAAGGAGCUUGCUCCUUUGACGUUAGCGGCGGACGGGUGAGUAACACGUGGGUAACCUACCUAUAAGACUGGGAUAACUUCGGGAAACCGGAGCUAAUACCGGAUAAUAUUUCGAACCGCAUGGUUCGAUAGUGAAAGAUGGUUUUGCUAUCACUUAUAGAUGGACCCGCGCCGUAUUAGCUAGUUGGUAAGGUAACGGCUUACCAAGGCGACGAUACGUAGCCGACCUGAGAGGGUGAUCGGCCACACUGGAACUGAGACACGGUCCAGACUCCUACGGGAGGCAGCAGUAGGGAAUCUUCCGCAAUGGGCGAAAGCCUGACGGAGCAACGCCGCGUGAGUGAUGAAGGUCUUCGGAUCGUAAAACUCUGUUAUUAGGGAAGAACAUACGUGAAAGUAACUGUGCACGUCUUGACGGUACCUAAUCAGAAAGCCACGGCUAACUACGUG